GGAAACCGAGGCACGGCGCUGCCGGGACGCCGCUCACCUGGCCGCUCCGGCCCCGCUGCCACUGGCAGUUGAAGAGGAAGGUGCUGAAGUAAGGCACGAAGCUGCUGUCGUGCAGUGCCAGCAGGUAGCUCUCGGUGAACUGGAAGCAGCCGGGGAACUGCCGCACCAGCUGCCAGGUGCAAUCCAGGAAAAGCAGGAAAACGGGCGCCUGCGGCACACGCGCCCUGGUUGCAGAGGCGCCGGCGGGGGCCGCGUCCCCCCUCCCCGCCCCGCGCCCGGCUCUCACCUCGUCCCGCGGGCUGGGGCGGCCGAGGCCCAGGCGGCGGGCGAAGGGGUGUCCCGCGGCCACCCACUCCCUCUGCACCAGGCUCUGGAAGCCGGGCAGCGUGCGGGCGUGCGGGUCCCCCAGCAGCUGCGCCAGCGAGGCCAGCAGGCAGUUGAGGUCGCGGUCCUCCGGCUCUGGCGGGCGGCAGGGAUGCGGGAUGCCGGCGGGCAUCCCCGGCCGGCAUCGCCCCCGUCUGAACCCCCCCCCGUCCGAACCCCCCCGCCCAAAAACCCGGCGGUUUUACCUUGCAAGACGACGGAGCAGCGUCUCGCGGCCAGCAGGGAAACCACCUCGCUCGCCUUCCUCACGCAGGCCCUGCCGGGGAGCGCGGCGAUGCCUCGAGCGCCCCGGACCCCCCCGGCACCCCGGGGCGGAUGCCGCCCGCCGCGGAGGGGGUUCUCCCCGGCUUCCCCCGCUCACCGCACGUGGUCCAGCCAGCGGGUGCCCUCCAGCGCCGACAGCCACUUGUCGUCGGCCACCGGCGAGUCUGAAAGGGCGCGGGAAAACGGCGGCGUCCGGCGAGGGAAGGGACCCGGGGGCCCGGGGGCCCGGUGUCCCCCCCCCCGGCGGCUCUCACCGGGCAGGCAGAGCGCCCGCAGCUUGAGGUAGGCGAGCUGCAGCUCAGCCAGGCUGGGCAGCUCGGCCGCCGCGUCCACCAGCACGCACUGCGCGUGGCCCGCCAGCAUCAGCGCCUCCAGGCACCUGGGGGGGGGGGAAAGCCCCCAGGGGGGCAGCGAGUGGGGCUGGGCCCCACG
rnacentral:lncRNA from 1 species